rnacentral:rRNA from 1 species
AGUAACGCGUGAGCAACCUGCCUAUGACAGUGGGAUAGCCUCGGGAAACCGGGAUUAAUACCGCAUAAAAUCGUAGAAACACAUGUUUCAACGGUCAAAGAUUUAUCGGUCAUAGAUGGGCUCGCGUCUGAUUAGCUAGUUGGUGAGAUAACAGCCCACCAAGGUGACGAUCAGUAGCCGGUCUGAGAGGAUGAACGGCCACAUUGGAACUGAGACACGGUCCAA